rnacentral:rRNA from 1 species
AAGUCGUAACAAGGUCUCCGUAGGUGAACCUGCGGAGGGAUCAUUACACAAAUAUGAAGCCGGACUGGGAUAGGGCCUCGCUGCCUUGCCCGUCUGGCGCCAUAUUCACCCAUGUCUUUUUGCGUACUACUUGUUUCCUUGGCGGGUCCGCCCGCCAAUUGGACCUUAUUCAAACCUUUUUUUCAGUUGCAAUCAGCGUCAGCAAAACAAAUGUAAUCAAUUACAACUUUCAACAACGGAUCUCUUGGUUCUGGCAUCGAUGAAGAACGCAGCGAAAUGCGAUAAGUAGUGUGAAUUGCAGAAUUCAGUGAAUCAUCGAAUCUUUGAACGCACAUUGCGCCCUUUGGUAUUCCAAAGGGCAUGCCUGUUCGAGCGUCAUUUGUACCCUCAAGCUUUGCUUGGUGUUGGGCGUCUUGUCUCUCUCCCGAGACUCGCCUUAAAAUCAUUGGCAGCCGGCCUACUGGUUUCGGAGCGCAGCACAUUAUUUGCGCUCUUGUCCAGCCCGCGGUCGCGCGUCCAUGAAGCUUCUUUCAACCUUUUGACCUCGGAUCAGGUAGGGAUACCCGCUGAACUUA